GGCCUGAAGCCAUGUACGUAGACAAACAUGGGGAGAAGCCAGCUAUGGCGUAUCCACCACCACAAACUGGUUAUCCAGGGGCAAGUUCAGGACACCCUCCUCCUCCAGUGGCAUAUCCACCUCCUCCCCAUGGGAUGGCAGGUUAUCCAUAUCCUCCACCUGGUGGAUAUCCGCCAUACGGGUACCAACAGGCUCCAGCUCCAGGUUAUGCAUAUCCAGGGUAUCCCCCUCAGGGUGGAUACGGUUACCCUCCAGUGCAGAAACCGCAAAAGCCUAAGAAGAGUGGCAU
rnacentral:lncRNA from 1 species